UGGGGAAUAUUGCGCAAUGGGCGAAAGCCUGACGCAGCGACGCCGCGUGUGGGAUGACGGCCUUCGGGUUGUAAACCACUGUCGGGAGGGACGAAUGCCCCGCAAGGGGAGUGACGGUACCUCCAAAGGAAGCACCGGCUAACUCCGUGCCAGCAGCCGCGGUAAUACGGAGGGUGCGAGCGUUGUCCGGAAUCACUGGGCGUAAAGGGCGCGUAGGCGGCCUGAUAAGUAGGGGGUGAAAUCCUGCGGCUUAACCGCAGGGCUGCCUUCUAAACUGCAGGCUCGAGCACAGUAGAGGCAGGUGGAAUUCCCGGUGUAGCGGUGGAAUGCGUAGAGAUCGGGGAAGAACAUCAGUGGCGAAGGCGGCCUGCUGGGCUGUUGCUGACGCUGAGGCGCGACAGCGUGGGGAGCAAACAGGAUUAGAUACCCUGGUAGUCCACGCCGUAAACGAUGGACACUAGGCGUGGGUCUCGAACCAACGAGAUCCGCGCCGUCG
rnacentral:rRNA from 1 species